CUACGGGUCACACCAGUGGGGAAUAUUGGACAAUGGGGGAAACCCUGAUCCAGCAAUGCCGCGUGUGUGAAGAAGGCCUGCGGGUUGUAAAGCACUUUCGGUUGGGAGGACUGCUUCUAGCACUAAUAUUGUUGGAAGUUGACGUUACCUUCAGAAGAAGCACCGGCUAACUCCGUGCCAGCAGCCGCGGUAAUACGGAGGGUGCAGCGUUAAUCGGAAUUACUGGGCGUAAAGCGCGCGUAGGCGGCUAGAUCAGUCGGGUGUGAAAGCCCCGGGCUUAACCUGGGAACUGCAUCCGAUACUGUCUAGCUUGAGUACAGGAGAGGAGAGUGGAAUUCCACAUGUAGCGGUGAAAUGCGUAGAUAUGUGGAGGAACACCAAUGGCGAAGGCAGCUCUCUGGCCUGAUACUGACGCUGAGGUGCGAAAGCGUGGGGAGCAAACAGGAUUAGAUACCCUAGUAGUC
rnacentral:rRNA from 1 species